rnacentral:rRNA from 1 species
UACGGGGGGGGCAAGCGUUGUCCGGAUUUACUGGGCGUAAAGAGCGCGCAGGCGGUCGGAUAAGUCGAAUGUGAAAGCCCCCGGCUUAACUGGGGAGGGUCAUUCGAUACUGUUCGACUGGAAGGCAGGAGAGGGAAGCGGAAUUCCCGGUGUAGUGGUGAAAUGCGUAGAUAUCGGGAGGAACACCCGUGGCGAAGGCGGCUCUCUGGGACGGUACUGACGCUGAGACGCGAAAGCGUGGGGAGCGAACAGG